rnacentral:rRNA from 1 species
CCUACGAGUGGCAGCAGUAGGGAAUAUUGCUCAAUGUGGGAAACCCUGAAGCAGCAACGCCGCGUGGAGGAUGCAGGUUUUAGGAUUGUAAACUCCUUUUGUUAGAGAAGAUUAUGACUGUAUCUAACGAAUAAGCACCAGCUAACUCCGUGCCAGCAGCCGCGGUAAUACGGAGGGUGCAAGAGUUACUCGGAAUCACUGGUCUUAAAGAGUGCGUAGGCGGGGUAAUAAUGCAGAUGUGAAAUCCUGUAGCUUAACUACAGAACUGCAUGUGAAACUGUUACUCUGGAUGGUGGGAGAGGUAGGUGGAAUUCUUGGUGUAGGGGUAAAAUCCGUAGAGAUCAAGAGGAAUACUCAUUGCGAAGGCGACCUGCUGGAACAUUACUGACGCUGAUGCACGAAAGCGUGGGGAGCAAACAGGAUUAGAUACCCUAGUAGUC